rnacentral:rRNA from 1 species
AUUGAACGCUGGCGGCAGGCUUAACACAUGCAAGUCGAGCGGGGGAAGGUAGCUUGCUACCGGACCUAGCGGCGGACGGGUGAGUAAUGCUUAGGAAUCUGCCUAUUAGUGGGGGACAACAUCUCAAAGGGAUGCUAAUACCGCAUACGUCCUACGGGAGAAAGCAGGGGAUCUUCGGACCUUGCGCUAAUAGAUGAGCCUAAGUCGGAUUAGCUAGUUGGUGGGGUAAAGGCCUACCAAGGCGACGAUCUGUAGCGGAUCUGAGAGGAGGAUCGGCCCCACUAGGACUGAGACACGGCCCAGACUCCUACGGGAGGCAGCAGUGUGGAAUAUUGGACAAUGGGGGGAACCCUGAUCCAGCCAUGCCGCGUGUGUGAAGAAGGCCUUAUGGUUGUAAAGCACUGUAAGCGAGGAGGAGGCUACUUUAGUUAAUACCUAGAGAUAGUGGACGUUACUCGCAGAAUAAGCACCGGCUAACUCUGUGCCAGCCGCCGCAGUAA